rnacentral:tmRNA from 1 species
GGGGAUGACAGGCUUCGACAGGGAGGGCUGGUCCGCGAUUGCAAGCCGAGGCGCCUAACCGCGUUAAAAUGGGCAACAAGACAAGUGCCAACAACACUUAUGCUCCGGCUUUCGCUCUGGCUGCCUAACAACAGCUAGACGAGCCACUGGCUGACAGCGUCAGCCACGUCUGCCACGUACUUUAUCCGAGAGGACGGAAGCAGGCGUCGACAAAAUCGGAUUGCGUCAGCACGAUGCCGAUAAGCGCUGACAAAGAAACAUCGGCUGGCAGCUGAACACCCUGUUGCCGGGGUGCCGGAUUGCGAGAACCAAACGGUAACUAAGCUUGUAGUAUAUCUCUGGCCGAACUUUUUGGACGCGGGUUCGAUUCCCGCCAUCUCCACCU